GAUGAACGCUGGCGGCGUGCCUAAUACAUGCAAGUCGAGCGAACAGAUAAGGAGCUUGCUCCUUUGACGUUAGCGGCGGACGGGUGAGUAACACGUGGGUAACCUACCUAUAAGACUGGGAUAACUUCGGGAAACCGGAGCUAAUACCGGAUAACAUUUGGAACCGCAUGGUUCUAAAGUGAAAGAUGGUUUUGCUAUCACUUAUAGAUGGACCCGCGCCGUAUUAGCUAGUUGGUAAGGUAACGACUUACCAAGGCGACGAUACGUAGCCGACCUGAGAGGGUGAUCGGCCACACUGGAACUGAGACACGGUCCAGACUCCUACGGGAGGCAGCAGUAGGGAAUCUUCCGCAAUGGGCGAAAGCCUGACGGAGCAACGCCGCGUGAGUGAUGAAGGGUUUCGGCUCGUAAAACUCUGUUAUUAGGGAAGAACAAAUGUGUAAGUAACUGUGCACGUCUUGACGGUACCUAAUCAGAAAGCCACGGCUAACUACGUG
rnacentral:rRNA from 1 species